CCGUUUUAUUAUAAAGACAACAAAAAGAGACUUUUCUGUCUUUACAUUAAAUAACUGAAUUUUUCAGUGUAAUAUUUAUCUUUUUCUUCCUGACUUUGCUGUAAAGCUGAUGGAAAUAGGCAGUGGUUGGACCUUCUGGGUGGACGCUUCUGGCCCACAGGCCUUAUGUUUGCCACCCCUGCUCUAAAGCUUAUGAAGCUAGAUUAGCUGCAUCAUGAAGGUUCGCUGUGACAGCUGGUGUUUGUUUGUGCGGCGUCUCACUGGGACACAAACACUCGGCUCAGGUUUAAAACGGUUUUUAUUAAAGCAACAACAAAAAGAAGCGAGGUUGGCGUGAGAGCGUCGUCAGCAGAGACCGGCACGGUCAUCAGGGCUGCUCAGGUCCUCGAGCGGGGAAUUGGUGAGCAGCCUUUCAUCCUCUCUGCUGACGCUCUGAGACGUGAGGAAGGAGGAGCCGAAAGAGCGCCGAGAGCCGGAAGCAGAAAGAGGUCGAGGUCAGAGCCAGUUUGGGACGGCGUCUGAUUGGGAUGCUUUUUGGACCUCCCUGCCCUCCAGCUCUCGGCUUACUUUCAGGACCCGCAGUUCUCCUUCGGCAGCACGUCGACGUCCUGCUCUGUGGGCGGGGUCAUCAGGGCGGGUUCGCUGCUCAUCCUGUCACCCUUGCGAGCUGCGGAGACGGAGAAAGAUUGAGAACAGGAAAGAGUUUAUUUAAAAUGGAAGAACUUCCUGUCUGACACUGUUCUAACUUUAGAGGCUUUUAUUCUGUAAAAACUUCAGAGUCACAGCAACACAAAGACGCCGCAGCCUGAAGCUCCUCCAGCAUCACGCUUCACGCGGUCGUAGCUCUGAUGUCUCUGUUCUCCUCACACAGGUGUGCUCAGGUGAGUCCAGCUCUCCUCCUGUGCUGGACGGUUUGUCUGUGAGUCCAGGUGAUUCUGCUGCUCAGCCGUCAGAAGGAAGCGCAUCGCUAUCAGACUCACGAAAGCGCAGAGUGUCGGCCCUGCAGAGGAAACUGCAGCUCUGAGCUGGAGGACGCUCUGCAGCUCCACAGCACAGAAACAGGAGUUUCUUUGUGUCUGCAGGUCAAAGGUCACGGUUCUGCUGAAGUGGAGUCGAAGCUCCACACAGGCUGCCCCUCUGGGAGUAGUGUCACGUAGACAUGGAGCUGCGAGGACUGCAGGACUGGAGCUGCUGGUCCAAACCUCAAACGUCCACGUGACGCACCAAACAGCGUCUGUGAGCGCAGACGGGGUUUCCUCUGCAGUGAGGCGCACCGCAGGGUUUAAAUACAGCUUCUGUUCAGGCGAGCUGCUCAGAGUUUUUCUGUUUCUGUGCGAACGCUCUCAUCAGGCUCUCUCGAUUUCCUCUGUCAGCGCUGCAGAGGCGCCUCGUUGGCUACGGCGGCGUGGAGAAAUGAGGACAGUCUAAAACAGCUGCGAGAGCUUCACCACAUCCUUCUCACUGCAGCCGCAGCUCAGCCAGAGAGCGCCGCUUUCUCACAGUAAACAGAGUCUGAGCCGCAGGGGUUAAUCCAGAGUUUAGCCGGAGCCGAGCCCUCAGCUGUGGGCUCGAUCUAAUCCCUGGACUGACCCUGACAGAGCCGCAGGUAACCCGGAAGUGGGAAGCCUGAUCUCGGGUUCAGACCUGAGCCAGAAGCUGUCGGACUCACCGCUGAUGAUCAGUCACACCAUCCUUUAGAUGCGCGGGGUCAGGAGCUGCUGUUCUCGGUCCGUGUGUGUGUGUGUUAACGCUCAGCUGAUAUCUGAGCUCUUCCUCAAUAUCAAGUCUCCUCUGAUAGCCCCUCCCCCUGAGGAGGGGGAGGAGCCUUCACUGUCGCUGCAACAAGCUCAGAGCAGCAAAGAAACUUCCACAGUGUAUUCAUUUACAUCUAAAUCUGUUUCGCCUCAGGAUGAAUGAAAACCGGACUUCAUUAUGACGUAAGCACAGGACCAAAGUCUGUG
ensembl:lncRNA